GACGAACGCUGGCGGCGUGCCUAAUACAUGCAAGUAGGACGCAGUCGCGAACGGGUGAGUAACGCGUAGGUAACUGCCUAUUAGAGGGGGAUAACUAUUGGAAACGAUAGCUAAUACCGCAUACUAGUAGAUGGACCUGCGUUGUAUGAGCUAGUAGGUAGGGUAAUGGCAUACCUAGGCGAAGAUACAUAGCCGGCCUGGGAAGGAGAUCGGCCACACUGGGACGGAGGCACGGCCCAGACUUCUUCGGGGAGGAGCAGCAGGGAAUCUUCGGCAAUUGGGGGAACCAUGGGCGAGCAACGCCGCGUGGUUGAAGAAGGUUUUCAGAUCGUAAAGCUCUGUUGUUAAGGAAGCGGUACUUAGCCAGAAAGGGACGGCUAACUACGUGCCAGCAGCCGCGGUGAUUC
rnacentral:rRNA from 1 species